GCCAUUGUAGCUUAACAAAAAGCAUAACACUGAAGAUGUUAAGAUGGGUUCUAGAAGAGCCUCAAGGGCA
rnacentral:tRNA from 1 species